rnacentral:tRNA from 1 species
GAGGGUGUAGCUCAGUGGCAGAGCACUUGCUUAGCAUGCACAAGGUCCUGGGUUCAAUCCCCAGUGCCUCCA